UCGUCUUUAGGGGCCAAACGAAAGCCAAAUAAAACUUUUUUAUCUUUGAUACAUGUUUUAAAUUAUGUUCUAUUGUGAUUUAUAACUUUUUUUUUCGAAUUUAAAAUUUUAUGCAAGUUCCCUAUUGAUAUUAUAUUCCGCUAUUGGAUGGAAACGUCUAUCUUCUGGCCAUCUUAACCAAUAGAUUAGGCAAUAGGAUUUUUUUGCUUUGAAGUAUGGACUAUCCAUAUUCCUUUCCUUUGGAUAUCUAGCAUAUGUGAUUUGUUGGAUAUAGUCGGUUCUCUAAACUCAGACACAACUGGCUAGUGAUCUUAGUUGGUAAUUUUUUUGUUUUUUUGCUAAUUUGUUAUCUACCUUGAAAGUCUGCUAAAUGACAAUGCCUUACUUUGUAGUGAGAAUAUUACAGUUAAUAUGAGACGUAAGAAUUAGAACGAAAAAUAAAUUCAAAUUUCACGUAAGCAAAAUUCAAAUUUGGUAUUCCUGAUAGUAUCGUCUGAUAAUCUGAAAAAACUAAACUUCGAUGUACUCAAAAUGAAAUUAGACCUUGUUUUGCUUCUAAAACGCCUAACCUAAAGAUAAUAUAAUUCAUAUUUUUUGGUUUAAUCUAUACUAUGUUCGUUCUCAAGAUAAGCUCAGAUGCCAGUUUUAGACACGGAGGUGCGUGUGUAGCGUCGUCGCACCUUGUCAUUGGUUAGAAAUUAAUUUCAAGCUGCGACGACAGGACAUAUCUACCGAUCAGGCACCCGAGCUUGUCUUGAUAAUGAACGUACUACAGUGUUAAUUUCCAUAGAAAAUUGAUUGGAAAAGGACAUUUAGGACAAGAAUGUUAUUAAUCGCUAAUUUACUUAAUUAUUAGGACUUGACUCUAUUACAAAAUAGAAACUACUUCCUAGUUUUACUGAUGGACCAGGGAGCAUCUGUAAAAAUAUUAGUACAUUUGGAUGUUGAGAGCCCUGGACUAUGAUGGUUGUGAAUCCACAUGUAAAAUGUGCUUAUUUUAACCUUUUGCACUUUCAACUAUUGCCUUUUUCAAUAAAUCGCCUUCCAACUUUAUACCGUGUAAUUUUUGAGCAAUCUUCUUCUUCUUCUGUAAGUGCCUUGUCGUCCCAGAACAUUGGCGAUCAGUCGCAUGAUUUUUACUAAACACAGCUAACCCAAAAGUGUCGUGGGGCUCACUCUAUACCACUGGCAGAGGUUCCUAAGCCGUUUUUCUGCAUCCGGGGCCCCGUUUUCCCUCUAUCGAGUAAUUCACUGAUUGUUACUUAAAGUUUUGUGGCCAGGCAUGAAUUUUGGGAGUUAAAGCUAAUUUUUCCUCUUCAUUUACAGUUGCAUUGCUUCCAUAUAUUGAUGACUGGUUUUGUUUCUGGUUACAUUAAAUACUUGAUAUACCGUUAUAGUUUGUUUAGCAGUAAAUGGUUGACUUCAAUUAGUGAGGUCGUAAAUAUUAUUAAAUUUAUCUGACUUGGCCAAUUGUUAAGGCCGGUCGGGAGCGAUAAGCAAACGAGGUAGGCAAAGUUGGUCUUUUGACAAUUAACACUGACUAGACGGUACUCCUAUAAUAAAGCAAAGGAUGCACAAAAUUUACAAUAAUUACGACGACAAAA
rnacentral:lncRNA from 1 species